UACAGAGGUCUCAAGCGUUGUUCGGAUUCAUUGGGCGUAAAGGUGCGUAGGCGGCGCGGUAAGUCGGGUGUGAAAUCUCGGAGCUUAACUCCGAACUGCAUUCGAUACUGCCGUGCUUGAGGACUGGAGAGGAGACUGGAAUUUACGGUGUAGCGGUGAAAUGCGUAGAUAUCGUAAGGAAGACCAGUGGCGAAGGCGGGUCUCUGGACAGUUCCGUGACG
rnacentral:rRNA from 1 species